rnacentral:rRNA from 1 species
GCAUAUCAAUAAGCGGAGGAAAAGAAACUAACAAGGAUUCCCCUAGUAACGGCGAGUGAAGCGGGAAGAGCUCAAAUUUGAAAUCUUAAAGGGUUUCCCUUUACGAAUUGUAGUUUAAAGAAGUGUUUUCUGUUGAGGUUUUGGUAAAAGUUCUUUGGAAUAGGACAUCAUAGAGGGUGAGAAUCCCGUAUUUGACCUUUACUUUCAACUUUGUGAUACACUUUCAAAGAGUCGGAUUGUUUGGGAAUGCAGUCCAAAAUGGGUGGUAAAUUUCAUCUAAAGCUAAAUAUUGGCGAGAGACCGAUAGCGAACAAGUACCGUGAGGGAAAGAUGAAAAGAACUUUGAAAAGAGAGUUAAACAGUACGUGAAAUUGUCAAAAGGGAAGCGUUUGACACCAGUGUUGUUUUUCUGAAAAUCAAUUAAAGAACUGUUUAUGCUAAGUUGUUUAGACUUUAUCAGCUAACUGUUUAGUUUUGAGCUUUUCUUUAAUGCACUUUUCAGUUAACAAGUCAACAUCAAUUUCUUUUGCUGUAAAAAAGCUUGAGGAAGGUGGCUUGGGAUUCGUCUUAAGUGUUUAUAGCCUCUUGCCUAUGCAGUCGGAGAGAUUGAGGUCUGCAGCGUAGAUCCUUCGGGGCUAAAUGCAUUUGUGCUAAGUUAUAGCAUUUUAUAGACAACUUGUUGACUAUGAUUUGUCUUGUAGCUUACUCGCUUAUGUUAUUUUACCUACGCUUAGGAUGUUGACAAAAUGGUUUUAGACGACCCGUCUUGAAACACGGACC